rnacentral:tRNA from 1 species
ACAUAAAUAGUAUAUUAAAUACGUUAGAUUUAGAUUCUAAAGAUACAGGUUAUGUU